GGGGAUAUAGCUCAGUGACAGAGCAUGUGCUUAGCAUGCACAAGGCCCUGGGUUCUAUCCCCCUGCCCCCA
rfam:Fukomys damarensis contig92306, whole genome shotgun sequence.